rnacentral:rRNA from 1 species
AGUGAACGCUGGCGGUAGGCCUAACACAUGCAAGUCGAACGGCAGCACAGUAAGAGCUUGCUCUUACGGGUGGCGAGUGGCGGACGGGUGAGGAAUACAUCGGAAUCUACUUUUUCGUGGGGGAUAACGUAGGGAAACUUACGCUAAUACCGCAUACGACCUACGGGUGAAAGCAGGGGAUCUUCGGACCUUGCGCGAUUGAAUGAGCCGAUGUCGGAUUAGCUAGUUGGCGGGGUAAAGGCCCACCAAGGCGACGAUCCGUAGCUGGUCUGAGAGGAUGAUCAGCCACACUGGAACUGAGACACGGUCCAGACUCCGACGGGAGGCAGCAGUGGGGAAUAUUGGACAAUGGGCGCAAGCCUGAUCCAGCCAUACCGCGUGGGUGAAGAAGGCCUUCUGGUUGUAAAGCCCUUUUGUUGGGAAAGAAAAGCAGCAGGUUAAUACCCCGCUGUUCUGACGGUACCCAAAGAAUAAGCACCGGCUAACUUCGUG